GCUGGGCUGUAGCAGCACGUAAAUACUGGAGUUAGCCUUAUUCCGGUAUCCAGUGUUACUGUUCUGCUGUAGUCAGGC
rnacentral:pre_miRNA from 1 species